rnacentral:rRNA from 1 species
GACAGAGGGUGCGAGCGUUGUCCGGAAUCACUGGGCGUAAAGGGCGCGUAGGUGGUGGCUUAAGCGUGCGGUGAAAGCUCGGAGCUCAACUCCGAGUCGGCCGUGCGAACUGGGCUCACUGGAGCAUAGUAGAGGCAGGUGGAAUUCCGGGUGUAGCGGUGGAAUGCGUAGAGAUCCGGAAGAACACCGGUGGCGAAGGCGGCCUGCUGGGCUAUGGCUGACACUGAGGCGCGACAGCGUGGGGAGCAAACAGGG